CGAGUCGAUCAAGUGAUCGCUGGCGGCCCGAGACGCUUCGCGUCAAGGGUUGCGGGAGGAAAGUCCGGGCUCCGCAGGACAGGGUGGUCGGUAACACCGACCGGCCGCGAGGUUAGGGCAAGUGCAACAGAAAGCAAACCGCCGAACUGCCAUUGGGUCUUCGACCUGCUGGUGAGUGGUAAGGGUGAAACGGUGAGGUAAGAGCUCACCAGCAGGUAAGGUAACUUACUUGGCUAGGUAAACCCCACCCGGAGCAAGGUUAGACAGAUGGGAUGUCGCCGUUUUCGGACGGCGGCGCGAAGCGGUCCGUUUCGCUGGACCAUCGGGUAAACCGCGUGAGGCGGCAAGCAAUUUCCGCCCCAGAUAAAUGAUCACUCGCGACAGAACCCGGCUUAUCGAUCGACUCGUUUU
rnacentral:RNase_P_RNA from 1 species